CCUACGGGUGGCAGCAGUGAGGAAUAUUGGUCAAUGGACGAGAGUCUGAACCAGCCAAGUAGCGUGAAGGAUGACUGCCCUAUGGGUUGUAAACUUCUUUUAUAUGGGAAUAAACUGUUCCACGUGUGGGAUUUUGUAUGUACCAUAUGAAUAAGGAUCGGCUAACUCCGUGCCAGCAGCCGCGGUAAUACGGAGGAUCCGAGCGUUAUCCGGAUUUAUUGGGUUUAAAGGGAGCGUAGGUGGAUUGUUAAGUCAGUUGUGAAAGUGUGCGGCUCAACCGUAAAAUUGCAGUUGAAACUGGCAGGCUUGAGUGCAGUGGAGGUAGGCGGAAUUCGUGGUGUAGCGGUGAAAUGCUUAGAGAUCACGAAGAACUCCGAUUGCGAAGGCAGCUCACUGGACUGCAACUGACACUGAGGCUCGAAAGUGUGGGUAUCAAACAGGAUUAGAUACCCGAGUAGUC
rnacentral:rRNA from 1 species